rnacentral:lncRNA from 12 species
GGGGCGGGCUCCACCGGCCCUGCGGGUCUGGGUCUCCUAGAUCAGAUUUGUUCCCGGCCCCCCCCACCCCCCACCCCCCCCCACCCCCCGUGGCCGCAGGAGAGGCAGGCGGUGCUGGCGGAGCUGGCGGCAAAGGCGAAGCUCACGGAGCAGGUGUUCAACGAGUCCCCGGGCAUCCGCUGCAACCCGGUGCAGGGCGCCAUGUACUCCUUCCCUCGCGUGCAGCUGCCCCCCCGCGCCGUGCAGCGCGCUCAGGAAUUGAGCCUGGCCCCCGACAUGUUCUUCUGCAUGCGCCUCCUGGAGGAGACCGGCAUCUGCGUGGUGCCCGGCAGCGGCUUCGGGCAGAGGGAAGGCACCUACCACUUCCGGAUGACCAUUCUGCCCCCCAUGGAGAAGCUGCGGCCUCUGCUGGAGAAGCUGAGCCAGUUCCACGCCAAGUUCACCCGAGAGUACUCCUGAGGCCCCCCCCCUCUUUAGGGCCAGGCUUGGCCGGCAGGGCCGACUCUGGAUUUACGAUGGCCGGGAUGGCCGGACCGUGGGGGUCUCUGCAGCCCCCUGGACUUGCUCCUGCUGCCUGUGGGGCUGGGCCCCAGCCUUCCUGCACGCCCCUAAUAAAGCUACGAGGCAGUCUGACCACUCCGAGGCUGUGUGCACACCUGCCCACGUGGCCCACCUUCCUCUCUGGGCUGGGGUUCUGUGCAGGGUAUUGGUCGGCCUCCAGCAGGAGUGGUCGCGGGGGGUCCCAGAGGAGGUGACCUUCCUGCCAAUGAAGCGCCUCCCCCGGGCUGGUCUCCACUGUGGUCUCUGGACUGGAGGCCGGCACCUGCAGGCCUCACAGAGGUGUGAGAGGUGUGGAGGGCACUCGGCUGGGGGCGGGGCUGGAUGAAGAAGCGGAGGCUGAGUCCAGGGGUGGCCACAUCAGAAGGAGCCUGAGGAAGACCAAGGGGUGUUCUCCGGCCUGGCUCCCCUCCUGGACUGGCUGGCAGCACCGGGCACGAGAGGACGGACUGGGUGGGGGGGCGGGCAGUGGGAGACAGAACAGAGAGGCCCCCGGGCGGGGGGGCGC